rnacentral:lncRNA from 1 species
CAUCGUACAACCCGGGGUCGCCCCAAAACCACUUGGUCCUCCCCAGCAUUAUCCAGUUCCCCUCCAGCAGGACCCAGCUCUGCCUACGAUGGACCCAGAUUACAUCGAAAGGUACAAAAAACUUAACCCAUCUAUUUUUACAGAAGCAUCCACUUCUGAGGAUGUUGAGUACAGUUUGGCAGAAGGCCUUCGCAACACUUGAGGUGAUUCCCGAAUAGAAGGUUGUCCUUGUCACGUAUAUGCUCGUGAGGCAGAGUGUUGGUGGCAAAUCGAGCAAGUUACUCUGCCCACUCCGAUUACCUUGGAACAGUUUUUAGCAGCCUUCAAUGCUGAGUACCUUUCGGAACAUCUCCGACAUUUAAAAGAAAUAGAGUUUGCGCAAUUGGUCUAAGGUGAUACAUAAACAGAUGCAAACAUAUUCAUAAACAUAAAAUACAUACAUUAUACGUAUAACUACAUGCAUAUCCACACAUAUGAAUGCAUAUGUAGAAAACAUGUAAAUAUAUGUACUUAUAUAUAUGUGCAUACGUGUGUAAAUGUAUUAUAUAUAGGUUUUUAAUUCAAACUUACUAGUUUCCUCACCCUUUAGUACCUUCUCUACUAAUAAUAAUUACUCCAAACUACAGCCAUUUGUAAAAUACUACAUAGAAAUAAUCCACAGAAUACCACACAUUAACUUUGAGGAACUCACAUUAACAAAAUACUAUACAGGAAUGGCUAGAGAAAAACCGAGAAGCAAGAUUACCCCUCACUGAACUAACUAAUCCUGCCACCUGUAUAAACUUUUCAGUUUUUCUAAUGGAAUUACUACUUCUACUUGCAAUCACAAAAUUCUCCACCUAAUUUCACCAACAUUCACUUUAAAACUCCUAGUAAAUGUUAUUUUAAACACAUUGUCUAUUUAUAACAACAAUUUAGUUAGCGAACACUCCAUAAUAGUUAUAAUUUGUCAAAUAGAGAGACUGCAAUUGAAGUACUAACAACUUACGCAUAAGAUAUUGCAGGUGAACAUAGAGAAAACCUGACGAAGAUGGAGCAUCGACUGAGGAGGCUCUGACUUGGAGAACAGGCAGAGAAAUUCGAGCCGAUGAAUGGAAGCAGAGAGGGCAUGGGAGAGUGAAGAUAGCGUUGAGGAAGAGGACAGAGGGAGGAGGGAGGUGAGGAGAGAGAGCUGACAUGAUGACUCGGUGAGUCGAAAUGGGCCCGAUUCCUAUCUGGGAAGUCACAGCCACUUGUUUCAGACCAUAUAUUGUAAUAAGCGCAAAACAAGCAAAUAAUGCAGUUGAGGCAUUUUUGUUGUUGAGUUUUUUAAUGAGCUACACGCGCUUCAGGUGUACCUUUUAGUCUAUUGAGUAUUUGUAGCAACUCACUCUCUUCUAAUUUGAUUAUAAUCUUUUAUAAUUAUAUAAAAUAAU